rnacentral:rRNA from 1 species
UGUAACAAGGUCUCCGUUGGUGAACCAGCGGAGGGAUCAUUGCUGGAACGCGCCCUAGGCGCACCCAGAAACCCUUUGUGAACUUAUACCUUACUGUUGCCUCGGCGCAUGCUGGCCCCCUCGGGGCCCCCUGGAGACAGGGAGCAGGCACGCCGGCGGCCAAGUUAACUCUUGUUUUUACACUGAAACUCUGAGAAAAAACACAAAUGAAUCAAAACUUUCAACAACGGAUCUCUUGGUUCUGGCAUCGAUGAAGAACGCAGCGAAAUGCGAUAAGUAAUGUGAAUUGCAGAAUUCAGUGAAUCAUCGAAUCUUUGAACGCACAUUGCGCCCUCUGGUAUUCCGGAGGGCAUGCCUGUUCGAGCGUCAUUUCAACCCUCAAGCAUUGCUUGGUGUUGGGGCACUGCUUUUAACGAAGCAGGCCCUGAAAUCUAGUGGCGAGCUCGCCAGGACCCCGAGCGCAGUAGUUAAACCCUCGCUCUGGAAGGCCCUGGCGGUGCCCUGCCGUUAAACCCCCAACUUCUGAAAAUUUGACCUCGGAU